rnacentral:rRNA from 1 species
UACGUAGGGUGCGAGCGUUACUCGGAAUUACUGGGCGUAAAGCGUGCGCAGGCGGUUUUGUAAGCCAGAUGUGAAAUCCCCGGGCUUAACCUGGGAAUGGCAUUUGGGACUGCAAGGCUGGAGUGUGGCAGAGGAGACUGGAAUUCCUGGUGUAGCAGUGAAAUGCGUAGAUAUCAGGAGGAAUACCGAUGGCGAAGGCAGGUCUCUGGGCUGACACUGACGCUCAUGCACGAAAGCGUGGGGAGCAAACAGG